ACGAACGCUGGCGGCGUGCUUAACACAUGCAAGUCAAGGGGGCCCGCAAGGGCAACCGGCGAACGGGUGCGUAACACGUGAGCAAGUUUCCUAUUAGUGGGGGAUAGCCGGCCCAACGGCCGGGUAAUACCGCAUAUCUUGAUCGGGUGGCAUCGUCUGAUCAGGAAACCUCCGGGGCUAAUAGAGGCGCUCGCGGCCUAUCAGCUAGUUGGUGAGGUAAUGGCUCACCAAGGCUAUGACGGGUAGCUGGUCUGAGAGGAUGGCCAGCCACAUUGGGACUGCGACACGGCCCAGACUCCUACGGGAGGCAGCAGUGGGGAAUAUUGCGCAAUGGACGAAAGUCUGACGCAGCGACGCCGCGUGUGGGAUGAAGCCUUUCGGGGCGUAAACCACUGUUGCCCGGGACGAACAUCCUCUUUCGAGAGGACUGACGGUACCGGGUGAGGAAGCACCGGCUAACUCUGU
rnacentral:rRNA from 1 species